rnacentral:rRNA from 1 species
UACGUAGGGGGCAAGCGUUGUCCGGAUUUAUUGGGCGUAAAGAGCGUGUAGGCGGCCGCACAGGUCCGUUGUGAAAACUGGAGGCUUAACCUUCAGACGUCGAUGGAAACCGUGCGGCUAGAGUCCGGAAGAGGAGAAUGGAAUUCCUGGUGUAGCGGUGGAAUGCGCAGAUAUCAGGAGGAACACCGGUGGCGAAGGCGGGUCUCUGGGCAGUAACUGACGCUGAGGAGCGAAAGCGUGGGGAGCGAACAGG